rnacentral:rRNA from 1 species
UACGGAGGCAGCAGUGGGGAAUAUUGCACAAUGGGCGCAAGCCUGAUGCAGCCAUGCCGCGUGAAUGAUGAAGGUCUUAGGAUUGUAAAAUUCUUUCACCGGGGACGAUAAUGACGGUACCCGGAGAAGAAGCCCCGGCUAACUUCGUGCCAGCAGCCGCGGUAAUACGAAGGGGCUAGCGUUGCUCGGAAUUACUGGGCGUAAAGGGCGCGUAGGCGGAUCGUUAAGUCAGAGGUGAAAUCCCAGGGCUCAACCCUGGAACUGCCUUUUGAUACUGGCGAUCUUGAGUAUGAGAGAGGUAUGUGGAACUCCGAGUGUAGAGGUGAAAUUCGUAGAUAUUCGGAAGAACACCAGUGGCGAAGGCGACAUACUGGCUCAUUACUGACGCUGAGGCGCGAAAGCGUGGGGAGCAAACAGGGAUUAGAUACC